UCAUAGUUCCUGCUGUCAAGCUGGCAAAUUUUAACAUCAAGCUGCAUCAGCAUUCUUGAGAAGGAUAAAGUUUUAUCUCAAUUAAUAAUUAAAAGUGCCUAGACAGCCAUCCUGGGGUCCCCCAUGGUUGUUGAGGGCAGGUCUUCUGUUGCUGUCAUGAGAUCUGCCAGGCUUCAGAAGAUACUGUGGAUUGGAAGUUUAUAGAAAGACCAGUCUACCUUUUCCUAGGCAACCUGAGGCAGUUAAUUCCUCAGUAUGCUGUUUCCCAUGGUCUGAAGAGGACUUGGAGCAGUUGAGGUGAGAGGGGUUUGUCAAGCUUGUUGAUUUUCUCAAAGAUCCAGCUCAUCUUCAGAAAAUUCAAGGGACCCUGGAUGUUUGAAUACGGACAGAUGGAAACUAUUUACAACCCAAUAAGAAUCAGCAAGAAAAUCAAAUAGGUCUUAUACAGAAAGAACUGAAGAAGAAAAGGACACUAUUAAAAGAAAGAUGAAGUAAAAUUGCUUAUAUUCAUCUGGAGGAGGAAAGAUAUAACUCGCCUUUGCUGACCUCAACAAGGGUAAGAGAAAAGUGACAAUAAAGAAGGACACCUAAAACUAAGGAUGAGGCUUAUUGGAAUCAAACAUGUUUUUUAAACUUUGGUGAAAAACACUACAAAGGUAAGUAGGAAUUUUAUCUAAGUAUCAUUUUCAAGAACAAAGCUUUUAUGGUAACAUCAUUCUAUGAAAGGAUACAGGAUUUUUAGUCAUAUUCUCUCAAUAGAACCUCGAGUUGACAAAAAAACAAUAUUUUUUUAUCAUACUUCUGACAAUUUCAUACAAUGUAUUUUCAUUUCCUCUCCUUCACUCUCCCCCUUAACUAAUCUAAGAAGCCCAUACCACCACCCUACCCACCCUUCUAAUUCACGUCCUAUUAUAUUUCUUUGAUUUUUCUUAAUUUACUCAAUACAACCCAUAUACUCAUGAGUAUGGGCCUAUUCACUGAAGUGGCAAUUUUAUAAUUUAAUAUCCAACUUUUAUGGGAUAAAUCAUGCUUAAGACAAACUGUAGGAUAUUGUGGGAUAGUUCAAUAGCAGAGUGCUUGCUUAACAUUAUCAAAGCCAUGUGCCCAACUAGAUAGAUAGAUAGAUAGAUAGAUAGAUAGAUAGAUAGAUAGAUAGAUAGAGAUAAAAUAGAAUCAAAAAUCAUAGAUACAUAGACAGCAACUUCUAGAGGUUAUCCAACAGUUUUUUUUUAUUGUACUUUAAAGCACUUCCAUUAUGCGUUUUGUUAAGGGAUUGGAUGUUAAUGUGCUACCACCAAAGAAACUGUUUUGGCUAGCCCUCUUACAUAAUAGAAUAAUGUCAUCAUUUCAUUCAAGACCAUUCAUUAACAGAGUUGAGAUAUUUAAUAACACUUUUUUAGCUAUAAAUGUAGACUAGAGAAUUAUAGGGAUUUGAUUAGGUGGCCUGUAAUAGGCAGGGUUCUCUAGAAUAACAGAAUUUAUAGAAAGAAUCUAUGUGUGUGUGUGUGUGUGUGUGUGUGUGUGUGUG